rnacentral:rRNA from 1 species
UACGGAGGGCGCAAGCGUUGUUCGGAAUCAUUGGGCGUAAAGCGCGUGCAGGCGGCUUGGUAAGUCGGGUGUGAAAUCCCGGGGCUCAACCCCGGAACUGCACCCGAUACUGCCUCGCUCGAGUCCCGGAGAGGAUGGCGGAAUUUCCGGUGUAGAGGUGAAAUUCGUAGAUAUCGGAAGGAACACCAGCGGCGAAGGCGGCCAUCUGGACGGUGACUGACGCUCAGACGCGAAAGCGUGGGGAGCGAACAGG